UCUUUAAGCGUCGGCUUAGGCAAUGUUUAAACAGGUAAGAAAUGAAAAUAGAAGAAGAGACUUGAAAAAUAAUUGUAAUUCAAGUGUUAUUAACCUGACUGAUGUUAACUUGAUAUACAUGGUAGUAAUGGAAAUUGAUUUUUUGUUUGAUUGCCAUUCAACCUCAACCAUGAUGACCAGUAAUAAGUAUUAUUCUGGCUCAAUUGUCAUUAAAAGUUUAAAAAUGUUCAACACUGAAAAGCUAAUUGGAAGAGGUUAACAUUGAAGUUUAAAACUCUUGACUUCAAUCUUCAGAUUGCAAGGUUGGCUGGAAAAAUGAAUCGCCGUCUAUUAUGAUACUGAACAUGAUGAAAAUGAAAAGCUACAGAAAAGCAAUUUCCUUGUAAAAUAAAGUUAACAGUUGAUAUCAUUUUUUCACAUUCAUCAAGAUCAACUCAAAUCCUUAAUCAUCUAUUAUUAACCUGGUUGAAUUAACCUGAAUAAAUGUAUAAAAAUCAGUAAACUGAAUCGUCAUCAGUAACUUGAUAGGCAAUGAAUUCAAUUAAAGUAACAAAAAAGACACUUUUUCAGAUCAAAACAUUUUUCAUUAAUAAUGUGAAUAUGCUUUUGGUUGUUGAUUUUGCCUUUUUUUGUUUCAACUCUGAAUACUCUGAGCUGAUUGAACUGAAUAAAAGAAUUGCCGAAUUUCAGUUUCUAUAAAUUGGUUAGAUUAAUUAGACUGUUGAAUGGUAUUUAUGAUGGUAAUUAGAUGUGAAAAAUUGAAGUUUACAUGAAAAAAAGAUGAAAUUCACUGAAGAUGUUAUGAUUCAAGUUUAGAUUAACUCUAUUAAAUUAUUGAGUAUAAAUCUUAUUAGUGGUGAUGAUAAUCAAUAUUACAUUAAAUUUAGUUUUAACUACAAUUGAUGACAACAUGAGAAAUGAUUUAAAUCGGUAACCUUGAUGAUUAACCUUAAGGGUAAACAAUUUGUUCAAUUUGUUUCUCUUUUUUUGUGUGUUGAAAAAAUGUCUUUCAGGUUAACUUUGAUAAAUCAACCUGAUUUAGUUAUUAAUAUCAACAAUUUAACGGUCAUUUAAACAUUACUUUCAAGAUCACUUUUCUUGCUUCUUAUAUUGAUUGUUUUUAAAUUCAAUUAUUUAGCUAAUUGUUAGUUAUGACAAUUACAUUGAGAAAAUUAAUAUAAUUGGAAACCUUUUCUUUUGACAUUAUUACCAGUAAUUCAAAAAAACCGCAAAAAGUUGAAUCUUACUCAUUGGGUUAGCUUGUAAAGUUAACGGACAUUUGGUUUAAACGUUUUCUUGCUAAAUUUUUUCACUACUGUUAACAACUGUAACUUAAUAAUCAUAAUUGUGAAUUUAAAAUACAGUUAAUCACCUAAUAUGAACUUUGAAAGGCUAAAUUGUUACCUACAAUUGAUGGAGUGAACAAAAAUACAGUUGUAAUGGAGUUACCAGGCAAACGGGUAAAACUCAACUACCAUAUUUUUGGCUGAUUUUCAACUCUAAAUCUUGGUUUGAAACAGAGUCACGCUAAUAUCAUCAUCAUCUUUAAUCCAUUGAACCGUCCAUCCGAGGAGUUAAAAUACAUUUCUUACAUGAUGCUGGUAAUGAUAAAGAUGGAGAUGAUUAUCAUGAACAAUACCAACAACUUGAAGAGUAACAACAUAGUGAAUAAGGAAGAAAGACUUGGAUUGAUCAAGGAUGAGGAUCAGGAUGAUUUGAGAUGAUCUAAACAUGAAAUGAACAAGACACUGUUAUGAUGGAUUAGGUUAUUACUACCUGUUACAGAUAAUUGUUUCAAAAUUUCAGGCGAACAUGGUAAAAUGAAAAUUAUUGUAGUUUUACUUUUGAAUUUAGACGAGUUAACCCUUGCAUCAUGACCGAGUUGGAAAGCUGUUUGGAUCCCAAAAUUACAUUAAUUUUGUUGCGUUAAGGCGAUUCGUUCAAUCAUUUUGAUAACAUUUCAAGGCCAAUGCUUUUUUUCAAAUAUCAAAUUCAUGUAUGAUGAUGGUGAUGGUGAUGGCGAUUAGCAGUUGUGAAGAAGAGCAAAGUUCAUCAUGAAACUUGAUGUAUUUUAAAUCAGAGUUUCUUAAAAGGUGUCAAAUCUUUGCUUCUCACACCCUCAUUGUAAUUAUGAUGAUGAUGAUUGGUGAUCUUCAUCAUUUUGGACAGUUUCAUUUUUAAUCAAUUUAUCAUCGCAAUGAUGUAUGAGUCUGUUUUCAUAAUCAAUAAUAGGGAAAAAGGGUCAUCAGAAUUAAACAAACUUGUAAAGAGAAACAUCAAAGGAGAUUUUGAUUCAGACAAAUGAUCAAUUUUCGUGUGUAAAUGAAAUAAAUUGCAGCAAGGUUGAAGUUUCAA